GUCCACCCCCAUUAGGGCACCAAGGCAAGGAGGUGGGCUGUGUGCAACAGAACAAGAAUCUACUCAUCUUAUACAUGGGCAUUUAAAAAUUUGGUAGAGAAACUAGAAGAAAAUGAAGCUAAAUAUUUACAACACUGACUUGGAAAGCCUUUUCAGAAUUUGCCCGUUUCUUCUCGCACAAUAAGAUGUUCCAGGCUCAUCAUGCAUUUUCCCUGGGCCAGCUCUGGAAUCAGCCGUUUCUCUAAGUUGCCCUGUCUCACUCCUUCUAAGCAACCCCCUGCAGAGUGAUGCGUCUCUACCUAGAAGAGGUCCACUGAAGGAACCAGAUGUUUCCAUAGGAGAAAUGCACAGCAUGAAACUACCAUACAGAGAAAUACCUGAGCCAUCAAGAAAUAAAGUGAGAACGUGGAUGAGGCUCAUGAAGAAGCCAAUAUGCCAAACAAGCUUUGCUCUUGUUGCCCAGGCUGGAGUGCAAUGGCGCAAUCUCGGCUGACUGCAACCUCCACCUCCAGGUUCAAGCGAUUAUCCAGCCUCAGCCUCAGCCUCCCAAGUAGCUAGAAUUACAGAUGUGUGCCACCACGCCCAGCUAAUUUUGUUUUGUAUUUUUAGUAGAGACUGGGCUUCUCCAUGUUGGUCAGGCUGGUCUCAAACUCCCUACCUCAGGUGAUCCACCUCCCUUGGCCUCCAAAAGUGCUGUGAUUACAGGCGUGAGCCACCGCAACUGGCCAAGUGCUACUUCUUAUAUUGCUGCAAAAAUGCCAAUGAGAAAUGUUUGUGCAUCGAGACUAAAUGCAGGUAUAUCUGAGCAGAGACAAAGACUGGUCCUUGGUGAGAAUUGGGACCAGGAAGCAAGACUGACAGCAUUCCUAGGGGACUGGAGGGAGAGAUGCGUCUGAUUUCAUACUGUGGCCGUGAGUGUGCUUGCGAGUUCCAGGAAGCCCUGGCCAGUGGUAUCCUGUGAACACCAUUUCAUGAACUACCAGGAUGAUUAAACUGCAGGGUGCUGUGGAGGGGCUUCUAGCCCUUUUCCCUGGCACAUCCCCUCACUUGAGUAAUGCCUGGCUUUAAAUUUGGGAAGGCAGAAGAUGGCAAUCGGGCUGUCUGUCAGUGUCAUCAUCUGUCAUCAUCUUCAGGCUGCCAGUGGGACAGCUGGGGAAAAGCAGGAUCAAGUUGACUGGCAGAGGGUUUUACAUCUAAUGAGUUUGUGUGCUGUAAUAGUAUAAUAAAUAAGGCUCUGGAGGAACGCAGCUAUCACUCGCAUUCCCAAACUGAGAUACAGCCUUGCCAGAAGCUCACGAAACCAUCUGUUACCAAAUAUUAUUCUGUGUCAGUGGCUGGACUGGCCUGAGGACAUGGACGACAUCAACGGAAGGAGGCAAUUGACAACACCAUGUCAUUCAAAAAGAUUUAAAGGGAACUGCCUUAAGGAGCUGGAGAUUUCCAGGUGAUUUUUGAAAUGCACAUAUAAAACCACCACCAGAAGCAGUCAGACGUGAAAUCUCGGCUGCUGAAUGCUAAAGAAUCUUUCCUUUGGAGGAGUUCAGUUUCUGUCACUUGGGGUCAGUUCUCGAGUCAUUUCAUCCUUAUCUGCUUGGAUUUGGGGCUGGAAUUAAUGCAGUCCUCUUUAGUGUGUUUUUGCCAGUGUGAUCCAUCAAGAUCUGAUUGUCGCCAAAGAACUCCACCGAUGACACAGCCGUUAAUGACAGGAAUAUUGAGAGUGGACGAAAGCUUGAGUGUUGGAUAGAAGCCAUCAGGAUUGGUAGUUGCUUGGUUUCCUCAUGUUUUUGUUGUUGCGGAGAAGGAGGAGGAAGCUUACAAGCUGUCACAAAUAAAGAACUGGGGCCGUAAUAAAUCUCAUGUUGGUAACACAAGUACAUGCUGAGCUAUCAAACCACAUGGUAAUGGGGCAAGUCAGGAGGACAGAGGGGCAUGGUGACCCUUUGAA